rnacentral:rRNA from 1 species
GAUGAACGCUGGCGGCGUGGAUAAGGCAUGCAAGUCAAACGGGUAUUGUAGCAAUACAGUAUCAGUGGCAGACGAGGUAGUAAUAAAUAGGUACCAACCCUAAAGUCAGGAAUACCUCAUCGAAAGAUGAGUUAAUACUUGAUGGUCUCAAAGUGUAAAAACUGCGAGUAAAGAUUUAUCGCUUUAGGAUGGGCCUAUUCAGUAUCAGCUAGUUGGUAGGGUAAUGGCCUACCAAGGCUAAGACGCUUAG